rnacentral:rRNA from 1 species
GACGAACGCUGGCGGCGUGCUUAACACAUGCAAGUCGAACGGUAAGGCCCUUCGGGGUACACGAGUGGCGAACGGGUGAGUAACACGUGGGUGAUCUGCCCUGCACUUCGGGAUAAGCCUGGGAAACUGGGUCUAAUACCGGAUAGGACUCCUGGCUUCAUGGUUGGGGGUGGAAAGCUUUUGCGGUGUGGGAUGGGCCCGCGGCCUAUCAGCUUGUUGGUGGGGUAAUGGCCUACCAAGGCGACGACGGGUAGCCGGCCUGAGAGGGUGACCGGUCACACUGGGACUGGGUUACUGGCCAGGCUCCUAGGGGGGGCAGCAGUGGGGAAUAUUGCACAAUGGGCGCAAGCCUGAGGCAGCGACGCCGCGUGAGGGAUGACGGCCCUCGGGUUGUAAACCUCUUUCAGCUAUGACGAAGCGCAAGUGACGGUAGUAGCAGAAGAAGGACCGGCCAACUACGUGCCAGCAGCCGCAGUAA